UGAAAUGAUUAUUCUCACUAGGUGAUAGCCGAGAAAGCUGAGACUCGCCCCAAGACACAGUCAGCAGGUGUUGGGUCACGUGAUCAGGCCUGGCCUCUGGGUGGUGCUGUUGAGCACACCAGCCGCUCCGCAAAAGGCUGACUAGCUGAAGAUGGAGGGGCAGGGCAGGUGCCCAGUCCAGAGAGGAGGGGUUGACGAUGACAAGGCGCACCCCCCCUCCCCACUCACAUGGGACUGGAUCCACCCUGAGGAGCCACGGGUCAACAUCCUGCUUCCGGCAGGCCCUCCCGGAGACCUCACAGAGGGGUGUUUGUUCGCAGUGGGCGGCGGGAGAGAUGCUAAUCGCGGUGGCUGGCUGCUCCCGGCUGAAGGUCAGGAGGUGGGCAAAGUGGAGCAUACCAGUAAUCCAGCACUCAAGAGGCAGAGACCAGAAGAUCAGGAGUUUGAGGCCAGCUCGGGCUACUUGGUAAAAGCCUGUCUCAAAAAAGGUA